AUUGAACGCUGGCGGCAGGCCUAACACAUGCAAGUCGAGCGGAUGAAGGGAGCUUGCUCCUGGAUUCAGCGGCGGACGGGUGAGUAAUGCCUAGGAAUCUGCCUGGUAGUGGGGGAUAACGUCCGGAAACGGGCGCUAAUACCGCAUACGUCCUGAGGGAGAAAGUGGGGGAUCUUCGGACCUCACGCUAUCAGAUGAGCCUAGGUCGGAUUAGCUAGUUGGUGGGGUAAAGGCCUACCAAGGCGACGAUCCGUAACUGGUCUGAGAGGAUGAUCAGACACACUGGAACUGAGACACGGUCCAGACUCCUACGGGAGGCAGCAGUAGGGAAUAUUGGACAAUGGGCGAAAGCCUGAUCCAGCCAUGCCGCGUGUGUGAAGAAGGUCUUCGGAUUGUAAAGCACUUUAAGUUGGGAGGAAGGGCAGUAAGUUAAUACCUUGCUGUUUUGACGUUACCAACAGAAUAAGCACCGGCUAACUUCGUG
rnacentral:rRNA from 1 species